UACGUAGGGUGCAAGCGUUGUCCGGAAUUAUUGGGCGUAAAGAGCUCGUAGGCGGUUUGUCGCGUCUGCUGUGAAAACUCGGGGCUUAACCCCCGGGCCUGCAGUGGGUACGGGCAGACUAGAGUGCGGUAGGGGAGACUGGAAUUCCUGGUGUAGCGGUGAAAUGCGCAGAUAUCAGGAAGAACACCCGUGGCGAAGGCGGCUCUCUGGGACGGUACUGACGCUGAGACGCGAAAGCGUGGGGAGCGAACAGG
rnacentral:rRNA from 1 species